GACGUAGGGGGCGAGCGUUGUCCGGAAUUAUUGGGCGUAAAGAGCUCGUAGGCGGUGUGUCACGUCGGCCGUGAAAACCUGCAGCUUAACUGUGGGCGUGCGGUCGAUACGGGCAUCACUGGAGUUCGGCAGGGGAGACUGGAAUUCCUGGUGUAGCGGUGAAAUGCGCAGAUAUCAGGAGGAACACCGGUGGCGAAGGCGGGGUCUCUGGGCCGAUACUGACGCUGGAG
rnacentral:rRNA from 1 species